rnacentral:rRNA from 1 species
GAUGAACGCUGGCGGCGUGCUUAACACAUGCAAGUCGAACGAUUGAAGCUGGAGCUUGCUCCGGCCGAUUUAGUGGCGGACGGGUGAGUAACGCGUGGGUAACCUGCCUCAUACAGGGGGAUAGCAGUUGGAAACGACUGGUAAAACCGCAUAAGCGCACGGUGUCGCAUGACACAGUGUGAAAACACUCCGGUGGUAUGAGAUGGACCCGCGUCUGAUUAGCUAGUUGGUGAGGUAACGGCCCACCAAGGCGACGAUCAGUAGCCGGCCUGAGAGGGUGAACGGCCACAUUGGGACUGAGACACGGCCCAAACUCCUACGGGAGGCAGCAGUGGGGAAUAUUGCACAAUGGGGGAAACCCUGAUGCAGCGACGCCGCGUGAGUGAUGAAGUGUUUCGGUAUGUAAAGCUCUAUCAGCAGGGAAGAUAAUGACGGUA